UCUCUCUCUCUCUCUCUCUCUCUCUCUCUCUCUCUCUCUCUCUCGCUCCCCCCCCGAUCUAUCUUUCUCCCUCUCUCCAUGGGGCUUCCUCAGUUCAGGCUCCACAGUCUCAGAGAAACACACACUUCAUUUCUUCACUCGUCAUGUUUCUUCUCCUUCUCUCGCUUCUGUCCUCUAUUUCGCACACGGUGGCUUCUGUAGAUCUGGAAGUGUGUCCUCUGGGGCAGUUUCCAUGUGGGAACCUGUCGGUGUGUUUAGCGCAACUAAAACACUGCAACGGCCAACAGGACUGUCCAAAUGGUGCUGAUGAGGAGAACUGUGUGGAUAACAGUGGCUGGCCACACCUCUUUGAUGCCUUCAUGAAGACCAGAGCUCAGGAACCUAAAGAAUGCAGUGAGUCUCUAUUACCUACCUUCACUUCUCUUACGUAUCUCUCUGUCUCUCUCUCUCUCUCUCUCUCUCUCUCUGUGUCUCUUUGUGUGUGUGUGUGUGUCUCUCUCUCUC